rnacentral:rRNA from 1 species
UACCUGCAGCUCAAGUGGUGGCCGCUAUUAUUGGGCCUAAAACGUUCGUAGCCGGUUUGGUAAAUGCCUGGGUAAAUUGUGUAGCUUAACUAUACAAAUUCCGGGUAGACUGCCAAACUUGAGACCGGGAGAAGCUAGAGGUACUCCUGGGGUAGAGGUGAAAUUCUGUAAUCCUGGGGGGACCACCAGUGGCGAAGGCGUCUAGCUAGAACGGGUUUGACGGUGAGGAACGAAGCCCUGGGGCGCAAACCGGAUUAGAUACCCGGGUAGUCCAGGGUGUAAACGCUGCUUGCUUGAUGUUAGUUGGGCUCCGAGCCCAAUUAGUGUCGGAGAGAAGUUGUUAAGCAAGCUGCCUGGGAAGUACGAUCGCAAGAUUGAAACUUAAAGGAAUUGGCGGGGGAGCACAGCAACGGGUGGAGCGUGCGGUUU